UUUGAAAUCUGGCCUCCGGGUCCGAGUUGUAAUUUGCAGAGGAUGCUUUUGGCGAGGUGCCUUCCGAGUUCCCUGGAACGGGACGCCAUAGAGGGUGAGAGCCCCGUCUGGUCGGACACCGAGCCUCUGUAAAGCUCCUUCGACGAGUCGAGUAGUUUGGGAAUGCUGCUCAAAAUGGGAGGUAUAUGUCUUCUAAAGCUAAAUAUUGGCCAGAGACCGAUAGCGCACAAGUAGAGUGAUCGAAAGAUGAAAAGCACUUUGAAAAGAGGGUUAAAAAGUACGUGAAAUUGUUGAAAGGGAAGCGCCUAUGACCAGACUUGGGCCCGGUGAAUCACCCAGCGUUCUCGCUGGUGCACUUUGCCGGGCACAGGCCAGCAUCAGUUUGGCGCGGGGGAUAAAGGUUUCGGGAAUGUGGCUCCCCCGGGAGUGUUAUAGCCCGUUGCGGAAUACCCUGCGCCGGACUGAGGUACGCGCACUGCAAGGAUGCUGGCGUAAUGGUCAUCAGCGACCCGUCUUGAAACACGGACCAAGGAGUCGUCUUCGUAUGCGAGUGUUCGGGUGUCAAACCCCUACGCGUAAUGAAAGUGAACGUAGGUGAGAGCUUCGGCGCAUCACCGACCGAUCCUGAUGUUCUCGGAUGGAUUUGAGUAAGAGCAUACGGGGCCGGACCCGAAAGAAGGUGAACUAUGCCUGUAUAGGGUGAAGCCAGAGGAAACUCUGGUGGAGGCUCGCAGCGGUUCUGACGUGCGAAUCGAUCGUCAAAUAUGGGCAUGGGGGCGAAAGACUAAUCGAACCUUCUAGUAGCUGGUUUC
rnacentral:rRNA from 1 species